CGCGAGCUGGGUUCAGAACGUCGUGAGACAGUUCGGUCCCUAUCUGCCGUGGGCGUUGGAUGAUUGAAGGGAGUUGCUCCUAGUACGAGAGGACCGGAGUGAACGAACCUCUGGUGUUCGGGUUGUCACGCCAGUGGCACUGCCCGGUAGCUAAGUUCGGAAUCGAUAACCGCUGAAAGCAUCUAAGCGGGAAGCGAGCCCUGAGAUGAGUCAUCCCUGACCCCUUGAGGGUCCUAAAGGGCCGUUGGAGACCACAACGUUGAUAGGUGGGGUGUGUAAGCGCAGUGAUGUGUUGAGCUAACCCAUACUAAUUACCCGUGAGGCUUAACCAUACAACACCCAAGAAGUGUUCUG
rnacentral:rRNA from 1 species